UCAUUUAAAGAGUGCGUAAUAGCUCACUGGUCGAGUGAAGUUGCGCGGAAAAUUACCGGGGCUAAGUUAUACACCGAAAUUGCGGAUUCAUUAAGAAAUUAAUGAGUGGUAGAGGAGCGUUCUAUACAGGAUGAAGUAUGAUCGAGAGGACAUAUGGACAGUAUAGAAGAGAGAAUGCCGGAAUGAGUAGCGAGAGCAAAGUGAGAAUCUUUGCCGUCGAAAAUCUAAGGUUUCCUGGGGAAGGUUCGUCCGCCCAGGGUAAGUCGGGACCUAAGGUGAGGCCGAAGGGCGUAGCCGAUGGACAGCAGGUUAAGAUUCCUGCACCAGUAUACAUGUAUAAUGCAUAAGAGGACACAUUUGAAGAAGAUGAGCGAGGAAGAGGAAAAACUCGUAUGGCAACAUAUAGUGAAAUAAAGUAACGAAUCAUCAAGAGGUAAGUGGCGAGAAAAGUCUUAUGUAGUUGUGUAGACUGCCCGUACCGCAAACCGACACAGGUAGAUGAGGAGAGGAUCCUAAGACGAGCGGGAGAAGCAUUGUUAAGGAACUCGGCAAAUUGACCCCGUAACUUAGGGAUAAGGGGUGCUGGUGUAAAAACCAGUCGCAGUAAAUAGGCCCAAGCAACUGUUUAACAAAAACACAGGUUUCUGCUAAAUCGCAAGAUGAAGUAUAGGAGCUGACGCCUGCCCAGUGCUGGAAGGUUAAGGGGAAAGGUUAGGAAUAAUUCAUUAUAUCCGAAGCUUUGAACUCAAGCCCCAGUGAACGGCGGCCGUAACUAUAACGGUCCUAAGGUAGCGAAAUUCCUUGUCAGGUAAGUUCUGACCCGCACGAAAGGCGUAAUGAUCUGGGCGCUGUCUCAACCAUAGACUCGGUGAAAUCUUAAUACCUGUGAAAAUGCAGGUUACCCGCAACUAGACGGAAAGACCCCAUGGAGCUUUACUGUAGCUUGAUAUUGGAAUUCGAUUUAUGAUGUAGAGGAUAGGUGGGAGACGUUGAUUCUAUGACGCCAGUCAUAGAGGAGUCAACCUUGGAAUACCACCCUUUGUAAAUUGAAUUUCUAACCUAGAGCCAUUACCUGGUUCAGGGACAGUGUCUGGUGGGCAGUUUGACUGGGGCGGUCGCCUCCUAAAAUGUAACGGAGGUGUUCAAAGGUUCCCUCAGAAUGGUUGGAAAUCAUUCAAAGAGCGUAAAGGUAUAAGGGAGCUUAACUGCGAGACCCACAAGUCAAGCAGAUACGAAAGUAGGACUUAAUGAUCAGGCGAUUCUGUAUGGAAUGGUCGUCGCUUAACGGAUAAAAGUUACCCUGGGGAUAACAGGCUGAUACCACCCAAUAGUUCACAUAGACGGUGGUGUUUGGCACCUCGAUGUCGGCUCGUCACAUCCUGGAGGUGUAGUCGCUUCCAAGGGUUGGGCUGUUCGCCCAUUAAAGUGGCACGCGAGCUGGGUUCAGAACGUCGUGAGACAGUUCGGUUCCUAUCUGUUGUGGGCGUAGGAAAAUUGAGAAGAGCUGUCCUUAGUACGAGAGGACCGGGAUGGACAUACCUCUGGUGUAUCUGUUGUAGCGCCAGCUGCAGCGCAGAGUAGCUAUGUAUGGAAUGGAUAACCGCUGAAAGCAUCUAAGCGGGAAGCCAACUUCAAGAUGAGUUUUCCCAUUGU
rnacentral:rRNA from 1 species